rnacentral:rRNA from 1 species
GACGAACGCUGGCGGCGUGCCUAAUACAUGCAAGUUGAGCGCUGAAGGUUGGUACUUGUACCAACUGGAUGAGCAGCGAACGGGUGAGUAACGCGUGGGGAAUCUGCCUUUGAGCGGGGGACAACAUUUGGAAACGAAUGCUAAUACCGCAUAAAAACUUUAAACACAAGUUUUAAGUUUGAAAGAUGCAAUUGCAUCACUCAAAGAUGAUCCCGCGUUGUAUUAGCUAGUUGGUGAGGUAAAGGCUCACCAAGGCGAAGAUACAGAGCCGACCUGAGAGGGGGGUCGGCCACAUUGGGACUGAGACCCGGCCCAAACUCCUACGGGAGGCAGCAGUAGGGAAUCUUCGGCAAUGGACGAAAGUCUGACCGGGCAACGCCGCGUGGGUGAAGAAGGGUUUCGGAUCGUAAAACUCUGUUGGUAGAGGAGAACGUUGGUGGGAGUGGAAAGCUCAUCAAGUGACGGUAACUACCCAGAAAGGGACGGCUAACUACGUG